rnacentral:rRNA from 1 species
UAGUGGCGGACGGGUGAGUAACGCGUGGGAAUCUGCCCUCAGGAGGGGGAUAACGGUUGGAAACGACCGCUAAUACCCCAUAUGCCGAGAGGUGAAACGAAAUUCGCCUGAGGAUGAGCCCGCGUCUGAUUAGCUAGUUGGUGGGGUAAGGGCCUACCAAGGCAUCGAUCAGUAGCUGGUCUGAGAGGAUGAUCAGCCACACUGGGACUGAGACACGGCCCAGACUCCUACGGGAGGCAGCAGUGGGGAAUUUUCCGCAAUGGGCGCAAGCCUGACGGAGCAACGCCGCGUGAGGGAUGAAGGCCUCUGGGCUGUAAACCUCUUUUCUCAAGGAAGAAGAACUGACGGUACUUGAGGAAUAAGCCACGGCUAA